AAGCGGAGACUCGGGUGUACACGGCAGGAGCGUUAGGAUCAUUACACUGCUGAAGACUGCCAGAAAAGAAGCUAGCGAUACCUACCUGGACUCCGUUAACCAGAAUCGGACCACCUUCGUCAUCCUAGUUCAAAGGGUAUUAAGAACUGACCACGCAGAUGGAGCUAGUGGUUCCGCCGGCACACAGCAUAGAGUUAACGUUGAAUAAGCUGCCCCAAUUUUGGCUGCAGAUUUGAUCACCGAGAACUUGGACAUUGGCCACCUUCAAUGUGUCUGAACUGAAUCCUCCUUUUCGUUAAAAAAUCAAAGUUAGCCCCACCGCCGGUUACGUUCAAUGUGUUUAGAUACACACCUAUGUACCCUUGUUCAGGGGAAUUAGCGGCAUAUCUGACCAAUACAUAGUCAAUGCAAUGCAGUGGGCUGCUGUCAAGACAUAGGAAGGAGCAAUUAAGGUCCCAACACAAGCACUCCUUGAGGAAAGUAAACUUGCCUGGAAUGGAAUAUUAAUACUUUGAAUAACUUCGCUGUGCACUGAAUGGCGCUUCUUUAGAUGUUUUAAUUAAGCAUAAUGGAGAUAAUGGGUAUUUAAAUAGAUUACUGUAAAUGGAUAUUGACCAGAUUGAGCGUCAAUUCCACCGAUGAUUCUCAUGUUGGAAAGCUCAUUUCCUAAUGCAAUCGAAUUAAAGAAUUGGAAUACGCUGAUCCGAUAAAGAAAAAGAAGAAUGUAACCUAAUAUCAUUCAAACGCAUGUUUAAAGUGUCGAGCGGACCUCAAAAUGUCAGGAGCCAGGGAAGACGCUCAACUAAUCCAUUGCUGCCUAAGCACCAGAUUGUUUAGAAGAAGUCAUCAAUUCACGUACCACUACCAGUUUUACAAAUUAUUUGAAAAAUUCUAAGGCCCUUUCAUCCAGGGAGACAAAGCUGCUGUCUACCACAUAAGAACUGCUUGGUAGUGUAAAUUGCAAACAUGAAAUUUCUUUGCUCUAUUUUGUCUUUACAUUUUAUAUGGACGUGUUCAGCUUACGUGGACUGAUUUAUAGCAUAUUUUGUUUUUAUAAGCAGUUGGGUCGGAGACUCGCAGAGCCCAGAGCCGUUAAACCCCGCCCCCCGUUGUGUGUUAUCAUGCAGGCACACAUGUGCGUCAGCAACGCGACUCCGAAUAGGUAUAACUAGGUUUAAAUACCAGCCGUUUCA